UCUCCUCUCCUCCUCCCCUCCUCUCCGCUCCUCUCCCUCCUCUCCCUCCCUCCCUCCCUCUCCCCUCCCCUCUCCUCUCCUCUCCUCUCCUCUCCUCUCCUCUCCUCUCCUCUCCCUCCCUCCUCUCCUCUCCUCUCCUCUCCUCUCCUCUCCUCCUCCUCUCCUCUCCUCUCCCCUCCCCUCCUCUCCUCUCCUCUCCCCUCCCUCCCCUCCCUCUCCUCUCCUCUCCUCUCCCUCCUCUCCCUCUCCUCUCCUCUCCUCUCCUCUCCUCUCCUCUCCUCUCCUCUCCCCUCCCUCUCCUCUCCUCCCUCUCCCUCCUCUCCCUCUCCUCGUCCUCUCCUCUCCCCUCCCUCCUCUCCUCUCUCCUCUCCUCUCCUCUCCUCUCCUCUCCUCUCCUCUCCUCUCCUCUCCUCUCCCUCUCUCCCUCUCCCUCCCCUCCUCUCCUCUCCUCUCCUCUCCUCUCCUCUCCUCUCCUCUCCUCUCCUCUCCUCUCGUCUCCCCUCCUUCUCCCUCUCCCCUCCCCUCCUCUCCCCUCCUCUCCUCCCCUCUUCCCUUCCCCUCCCCUCCCCUCCCCUCUCCUCUCCUCUCCUCUCCUCCCCUCUCCUCUCCUCUCCUCUCCUCUCCCUCCCUCCCCUCCCCUCCUCUCCUCUCCUCUCCUCUCCUCUCCUCUCCUCUCCUCUCCUCUCCUCUCCUCUCCUCUCCUCUCCUCUCCUCUCUAACCCUGUCAGGGGGAAUAUCUUCCUCUCAUCCCUACGUUUAUGUUAUAUAUUGUCUAUAUAUUGUAUAUUGUAUAUAUUGUUAUAUAUUGUCCAUACUUUUCCAGCUUGUGACACACAUGUUCAGAUCAAACUGACACAUGUGGCCACUUGUUACUGUUCCUAUAUGUGAGUAGAUCUGGAAGGUGAGACACGUUACAGCGGAUCUCAGGAUCCUUUACAGGAAGUGUGGUGUGUUAGAGGGAUUGAAGCCAUCCCGGGAGCUGGCUCCAUGGCGACGCUCAGCCUCCUCAUAUUACACCCAUCUUCCGGAGCAGCUGUCUCCCUUUUGUUCAGGUGGAUUCAUUUCAGAGGCGUCUUCGCCCAGGUCCUGAUUAACUUUGCAGGUUGGGGAAUCAGGAAGAGUCAAUUAGUGCUGGAGCCACGUUAGACCUCCUCCCCCUCCCCUAACCCUACCAAGCUCUAGCGCAUU
rnacentral:lncRNA from 1 species